GACGAACGCUGGCGGCGUGCUUAACACAUGCAAGUCGAGCGGAGCGGCGAACGGGUGAGUAACGCGUGAGUAACUGCCCCCCUCUCUGGGAUAACAGUUGGAAACGGCUGCUAAUACCGGAUAGUGGGGGAUGACUCGGGGCCUAUCAGCUUGUUGGUGGGGUAGUGGCCUACCACGGCGACGACGGGUAGCCCGCCUGGGAGGGCGACCGGCCACAUUGGGCUGAGAUACGGACCAAACGCGAACGGGGGGCAGCAGGGGGGAAUAUGGCGCAAUGGGGGAAACCCUGAUGCAGCAACGCCGCGGGCGGGAUGACGGCCUUCGGGUGGUAAACCGCUUUCAGCCAUGACGCGUUAGUGGCAGAAGAAGCACCGGCUAACUACGUGCCAGCAGCCGCGGUAAUUC
rnacentral:rRNA from 1 species